AGCUCUGGGGUGUUACAUAUUAGAUUGCAAAUCUAAAGAAGCAGGCUAAUCGUCUGCCGGGGCUU
rnacentral:tRNA from 4 species